AUGAACUGCACCGGACAAGCAGAAUUGUUGGUUCUAGUGCAGUUGCGCCAGUUUGCAUCUGAGAGGGAUGCUCUGCUUGCCCAGUUGGCCAACAUUGCCACACAUAGUCCCAUGAGUCCUGAUGCAGAUCAAGACCAAAUAGGAAGAUCCAUAACCCGACAAGACGUUGAUCAUUCAAGUAUGCGCCGGAGAGGGAGCUUACUUGAGAGGAUGGAUGCCGUCUGCGACAGUUGGUUUCCAGAGUACCGUUCAGCAAGUGAUAAUCCACUCUGGUCCCCUUCUUGCUGA
rnacentral:rRNA from 1 species